rnacentral:rRNA from 1 species
AUGCAGAGAGUGCAAGCGUUAAUCGGAAUUACUGGGCGUAAAGCGCGCGUAGGUGGAUACUUUAGUCGGAUGUGAAAGCCCCAGGCUUAACCUGGGAAUUGCACCCGAUACUGGGUGUCUAGAGUAUAGUAGAGGGAAGUGGAAUUUCCGGUGUAGCGGUGAAAUGCGUAGAUAUCGGAAGGAACACCAGUGGCGAAGGCGGCUUCCUGGAUCAAGACUGACACUGAGGUGCGAAAGCGUGGGGAGCAAACAGGAUUAGAAACCCCGGUAGUCC